CAAAGUCCACUCUGAGCUUUUCCUCUGGGAACAGAUCCCAGAUUAUUCCAGACUUAAGACAUGGAGAUAUAUCUUGCUAGAGUGUAAGAUGAAAGAGGACCUGCCCUCCAUUCUAUCUACUCCCUCUCUGCAAAGGCCAUUUUGAAGAUCUCAGUUUUACUGAAAGGGGUCUGCCACACAUAACUUCCCUGGUGUACCAGCAACAAGUGUUCAGUGGACCAUGGCAACACAAAGAAUGACGGAGGAGAGAAAAUGCUAUGCAGAAGUGAUAGUCAAGAUGAAGAUGUGGGAGAGGAGCAGCCCCCAGUAUAUAUUCAGUGUGUCCUCUGAAGUAACAACCAUCCCAUCUGGCUGAGAAGUGAUGGACACGGCUCCUUAACCACACUGUACCCUCUGUUCUUGGCACCUCUCUACCAGAAAGAUAUCGACAAAUUGGAUGGAAUUCAGAGAACAGUAAGAAAAAUGAUUAAAGAGAUGGAGGCAGUGACUUAUGAGGAAAGAUGAAAAGGACUAAAUCUGUAUAGCUUGGCAAAGCAACAACUGAGAAGGCACCUCAAAUAAAGGUGGGGAAAAGAAUGAAAGAAAUGGCUUUGGCCUGUGCCUGUUUGACCUCUGAGAGAUACUUUUUGCAAGAAAUUGUUAAGUUUUGGCCCAAAAAGUGGUCGGUCUUUUAUCCUUCCUUGUGGAGGCCAAAAUGCAAACCAGGAUGAAGAAACCAUCAGUGGCAGUUUGGGGAGGUGGAGGAGGGACUAACUAGACUCAGUGAAUCACCAAGGAAACAUGAGGCCUAUUUCUCUGUGAAGCUGAACUUCAAAAAACAAUCUAAGAGAUACAAAGGGAAAAGUGUGACUGCUCUGACAGCAAAAACAAGCAAAUAUCUCCAGAGGGGAUUAAUCCUUCUGCUUCAAAGUAACUAAAACAAAGAAAGCUGAGCCAGCUUCACUGGAAACAACACCUGUCCAUCAGACAAGGAUGAGCUAAUCAAAAGAAAACACUGCCUAUGUGCACGACUCAGCAGCCUGAACAGCUAAUACCAAGGAACACGUUUUCACUAUAAAGAUUCAGCUUUCAAAAUCCAGUUCCCUCUUGUAGAGCCACAGGGUUAAAAGGGACCUUAGAGAUCAUCUACAUACAGGCCAAACCCUCAAUGAAUGCCAGUGUUCGCCUUAUGUUCUUGCCGGACUCUUUUCUGACCUCUGUUCUGUCAGGAUGUUUCCUGUUUUGCAAAACAGCUUUAAUCCUUGAGUAUAUUUAAUUGUUAGAAAACAGUUCCUCAAAUUUGACCCCAAAUUUAAGUCUAAUUUAUGAGAAAGUUUUGCCUUUGGAGACAGGUUUAAUUUUACUUCCAUGUGGAAAACCUUCAAAUAAAAUGAUGACUAUUGUGUACUCA